GAUGAACGCUGGCUACAGGCUUAACACAUGCAAGUCGAGGGGAAACGACGGGGAAGCUUGCUUCCCCGGGCGUCGACCGGCGCACGGGUGAGUAACGCGUAUCCAACCUGCCUCUGACUGAGGGAUAACCCGUCGAAAGUCGGCCUAAUACCUCAUGGUAUCGUCUGCGGGCAUCCAACGACGAUUAAAGAUUUCAUCGGUCAGGGAUGGGGAUGCGUCUGAUUAGCUUGUUGGCGGGGUAACGGCCCACCAAGGCUACGAUCAGUAGGGGUUCUGAGAGGAAGGUCCCCCACAUUGGAACUGAGACACGGUCCAAACUCCGACGGGAGGCAGCAGUGAGGAAUAUUGGGCAAUGGGCGAGAGCCUGAACCAGCCAAGUAGCGUGCAGGAAGACGGCCCUAUGGGUUGUAAACUGCUUUUAUGCGGGGAUAAAGUGAGGGACGUGUCCCUCAUUGCAGGUACCGCAUGAAUAAGGACCGGCUAAUUCCGUG
rnacentral:rRNA from 1 species